rnacentral:lncRNA from 1 species
CUGCGGCGGCCCCAUCGCCUCCAUGGCCUCCCACCACCAUCGUGGGCCGACACAUCCCCGCCAUCGACGUCCGAUCCAUGCUACAGGCAACCCCCAUACCCUAUCGCUGCAGGCAACCCCCUACCCCUCUCCUCCUCCACCUUCGGAGACCGAUGCCCUCAUGCCCCCAUCCAACUCCUCCACCUUCCUCUUCCCCCACUCAAAUGCACCCCCCUUUGGGGUUCCACCUUCCUCCCCCAUCGUCGCAAGCAACCUCCUACCCCCCUCCUCUGCCACCCUUG